rnacentral:rRNA from 1 species
UUCCAGACUUUGAUCAUGGCUCAGGAUAAACGCUGGCGGCGCACAUAAGACAUGCAAGUCGAACGGAAGUCGUUAUAAAAAGGAUUGAAGAUUUAUCUGAUUGAGAUUUUAUAACAAUGGCUUUAGUGGCGGACUGGUGAGUAACGCGUGAGCAACCUGCCUACUAGAGGGGAAUAACAGUGAGAAAUCAUUGCUAAUACCGCAUAUGCCAUGAACAUCACAUGAUGAAAAUGGGAAAAGAGUAAUCUGCUAGUAGAUGGGCUCGCGUCUGAUUAGAUAGUUGGUGGGGUAACGGCCUACCAAGUCGACGAUCAGUAGCCGGACUGAGAGGUUGAACGGCCACAUUGGGACUGAGAUACGGCCCAGACUCCUACGGGAGGCAGCAGUCGGGAAUAUUGCGCAAUGGAGGAAACUCUGACGCAGUGACGCCGCGUAUAGGAAGAAGGUUUUCGGAUUGUAAACUAUUGUCGUUAGGGAAGAUACAAGACAGUACCUAAGGAGGAAGCUCCGGCUAGCUACGUGCCAGCAGCCGCGGUAAUACGUAGGGAGCAAGCGUUAUCCGGAUUUAUUGGGUGUAAAGGGUGCGUAGACGGGACAACAAGUUAGUUGUGAAAUCCCUCGGCUUAACUGAGGAACUGCAACUAAAACUAUUGUUCUUGAGUGUUGGAGAGGAAAGUGGAAUUCCUAGUGUAGCGGUGAAAUGCGUAGAUAUUAGGAGGAACACCGGUGGCGAAGGCGACUUUCUGGACAAUAACUGACGUUGAGGCACGAAAGUGUGGGGAGCAAACAGGAUUAGAUACCCUGGUAGUCCACACCGUAAACGAUGGAUACUAGGUGUAGGAAAUGAUUUCAUUUUCUGUGCCGUCGCAAACGCAAUAAGUAUCCCACCUGGGGAGUACGGCCGCAAGGUUGCAACUCAAAUGAAUUGACGGA